GUGGGGAAUAUUGGACAAUGGGGGGAACCCUGAUCCAGCCAUGCCGCGUGUGUGAAGAAGGCCUUUUGGUUGUAAAGCACUUUAAGCGAGGAGGAGGCUACCGAGAUUAAUACUCUUGGAUAGUGGACGUUACUCGCAGAAUAAGCACCGGCUAACUCUGUGCCAGCAGCCGAGGUAAUACAGAGGGUGCAAGCGUUAAUCGGAUUUACUGGGCGUAAAGCGCGCGUAGGUGGCCAAUUAAGUCAAAUGUGAAAUCCCCGAGCUUAACUUGGGAAUUGCAUUCGAUACUGGUUGGCUAGAGUAUGGGAGAGGAUGGUAGAAUUCCAGGUGUAGCGGUGAAAUGCGUAGAGAUCUGGAGGAAUACCGAUGGCGAAGGCAGCCAUCUGGCCUAAUACUGACACUGAGGUGCGAAAGCAUGGGGAGCAAACAGGAUUAGAUACCCGGGUAGUCC
rnacentral:rRNA from 1 species